rnacentral:tRNA from 1 species
AGGGUUAUAUUUAAUUAUAAUAUUUGAUUUGCAGUCGAAAGGUACCUAAGGGUUAACCUUU